rnacentral:lncRNA from 1 species
GAGGGACACGUGGCAGUGAUGUUAACAUACAGACAGUGUAGCGUAAGUGAUACUAACCUCAGCAGGACCAGGUCCCCUUUUCAGUUUGCAACCCUGUCAGUAUGAUUUAAUCUUCCCUUCAGCUAGACACACCAUGAGUGUAUACCUACAUUAAGGUACCAGAAGUGAAUUCUUAAGUGAAAAGCAUUAAAACAAGUAUAGAUACCUGCCCUCCGUAACAUAAUCAAAAUAGAAGAUUUUUGUGCAAACUUGUCACGGAAUCAGGUAAUCUUGUGCAUCCCCAGCCUCAUCUUACUUUUAAUGAAACAUUCUUUACUCAAUGACUUUGUAAAGAUAUCAGUCAGCUGGUCCUCAGUCUUACAGAACUUCAUCACCACAUUUUGCUUCUCAACAUU